rnacentral:rRNA from 1 species
UUUUAUGGAGAGUUUGAUCCUGGCUCAGGAUGAACGCUGGCGGCGUGCCUAAUACAUGCAAGUCGAGCGAACGGACGAGAAGCUUGCUUCUCUGAUGUUAGCGGCGGACGGGUGAGUAACACGUGGAUAACCUACCUAUAAGACUGGGAUAACUUCGGGAA